CACGUAGGGGGCGAGCGUUGUCCGGAUUUAUUGGGCGUAAAGAGCUCGUAGGCGGCUCAGUAAGUCAGGUGUGAAAACUCCAGGCUCAACCUGGAGACGCCACCUGAUACUGCUGUGGCUAGAGUCCGGUAGGGGAGCAUGGAAUUCCUGGUGUAGCGGUGAAAUGCGCAGAUAUCAGGAGGAACACCAAUAGCGAAGGCAGCUCGCUGGGACGUUACUGACACUGAGGCGCGAAAGCGUGGGGAGCGAACAGG
rnacentral:rRNA from 1 species